UUGAAGAGUUUGAUCAUGGCUCAGAUUGAACGCUGGCGGCAGGCCUAACACAUGCAAGUCGAACGGUAGCACAGAGAGCUUGCUCUCGGGUGACGAGUGGCGAACGGGUGAGUAAUGUCUGGGAAACUGCCUGAUGGAGGGGGAUAACUACUGGAAACGGUAGCUAAUACCGCAUAACGUCGCAAGACCAAAGAGGGGGACCUUCUGGCCUCUUGCCAUCAGAUGUGCCCAGAUGGGAUUAGCUAGUAGGUGGGGUAACGGCUCACCUAGGCGACGAUCCCUAGCUGGUCUGAGAGGAUGACCAGCCACACUGGAACUGAGACACGGUCCAGACUCCUACGGGAGGCAGCAGUGGGGAAUAUUGCACAAUGGGCGCAAGCCUGAUGCAGCCAUGCCGCGUGUAUGAAGAAGGCCUUCGGGUUGUAAAGUACUUUCAGCGGGGAGGAAGGUGUUGUGGUUAAUAACCACAGCAAUUGACGUUACCCGCAGAAGAAGCACCGGCUAACUCCGUGCCAGCAGCCGCGGUAAUACGGAGGGUGCAAGCGUUAAUCGGAAUUACUGGGCGUAAAGCGCACGCAGGCGGUCUGUCAAGUCGGAUGUGAAAUCCCCGGGCUCAACCUGGGAACUGCAUUCGAAACUGGCAGGCUAGAGUCUUGUAGAGGGGGGUAGAAUUCCAGGUGUAGCGGUGAAAUGCGUAGAGAUCUGGAGGAAUACCGGUGGCGAAGGCGGCCCCCUGGACAAAGACUGACGCUCAGGUGCGAAAGCGUGGGGAGCAAACAGGAUUAGAUACCCUGGUAGUCCACGCCGUAAACGAUGUCGACUUGGAGGUUGUGCCCUUGAGGCGUGGCUUCCGGAGCUAACGCGUUAAGUCGACCGCCUGGGGAGUACGGCCGCAAGGUUAAAACUCAAAUGAAUUGACGGGGGCCCGCACAAGCGGUGGAGCAUGUGGUUUAAUUCGAUGCAACGCGAAGAACCUUACCUACUCUUGACAUCCAGAGAACUUUCCAGAGAUGGAUUGGUGCCUUCGGGAACUCUGAGACAGGUGCUGCAUGGCUGUCGUCAGCUCGUGUUGUGAAAUGUUGGGUUAAGUCCCGCAACGAGCGCAACCCUUAUCCUUUGUUGCCAGCGGUCCGGCCGGGAACUCAAAGGAGACUGCCAGUGAUAAACUGGAGGAAGGUGGGGAUGACGUCAAGUCAUCAUGGCCCUUACGAGUAGGGCUACACACGUGCUACAAUGGCGCAUACAAAGAGAAGCGACCUCGCGAGAGCAAGCGGACCUCAUAAAGUGCGUCGUAGUCCGGAUUGGAGUCUGCAACUCGACUCCAUGAAGUCGGAAUCGCUAGUAAUCGUAGAUCAGAAUGCUACGGUGAAUACGUUCCCGGGCCUUGUACACACCGCCCGUCACACCAUGGGAGUGGGUUGCAAAAGAAGUAGGUAGCUUAACCUUCGGGAGGGCGCUUACCACUUUGUGAUUCAUGACUGGGGUGAAGUCGUAACAAGGUAACCGUAGGGGAACCUGCGGUUGGAUCACCUCCUU
rnacentral:rRNA from 1 species